UUUUCCUCAUUUCUUACAUUUGGAUUGACAUAAUUUGCCCUACACCGUGUCUACAACGCCGCAGCAGCUUGGGACUGACUAACUUUACUGGAUGUGUUAACCUUACAUCGCUUGUAAUGAUUGGAAAAUCCGUUUGUACUUCGUGUCAGAAACAGCGCGAGCGCUUGUAGUACAUCUGUACAUCAGAAAUAUACCGGGGCAUCGCAUUACUGUCCGCAUCCACUGUAGAUAAUAUAUAUAAUGGGUUCUAUAUUGUUUUUUAUCGAGUCGCGCCGAGGAAGACACGGAAACAGCGGGCAGCGUCGCGGGUUUUUCCCGGGGAUGAACCCGCGAGAGUGGGAGAGCUCCGGAGAACAUCUGCGCUGUGUGUCGAUGCACCUUACGAGAGAAAAAGACCAGCAAGCAAGACAACUGCAAUGAAGCAUCAAGAAAGACAUGGACAUGCCAGCCACCCUGAGACUGAUAAUUCAUGAGAAGACAUUUCUGUCAAAGUGGAUGGUGAGCAAAGAUGGUGGCCACGUUUUGGAGCAGCACCUGGGUUUUGCAGAUGGCUAUGUAUUCUUUGGCUGCUUGUCUUUAUGUUUCUGUUGCCUAAAGAUUCUUUGUGAGGAUAAAUCACAACAAAAUGCACUGCAAACCGUCCUAAGA